rnacentral:rRNA from 1 species
UACGGAGGGUGCAAGCGUUAUCCGGAUUCACUGGGUUUAAAGGGUGCGUAGGUGGGUCUGUAAGUCCGUGGUGAAAUCUCCGAGCUUAACUUGGAAAUUGCCAUGGAUACUAUAGAUCUUGAAUACUGUGGAGGUCAGCGGAAUAUGUCAUGUAGCGGUGAAAUGCUUAGAUAUGACAUAGAACACCAAUUGCGAAGGCAGCUGGCUACACAAAUAUUGACACUGAGGCACGAAAGCGUGGGGAUCAAAACAGG